rnacentral:rRNA from 1 species
UACGAAGGGGGCUAGCGUUGCUCGGAAUUACUGGGCGUAAAGGGCGCGUAGGCGGAUAUUUAAGUUGGGGGUGAAAUCCCGGGGCUUAACCUCGGAAUUGCAUUCAAUACUGCUUCGCUCGAGUACUGGAGAGGAGGCUGGAAUUUACGGUGUAGCAGUGAAAUGCGUAGAUAUCGUAAGGAAGGCCGGUGGCGAAAGCGAGCCUCUGGACAGUUACUGACGCUGAUGCACGAAGGCCAGGGGAGCAAACGGG